UUAAGCACCAACGGCAACAUCGCUCACUACAUCAUCUUCUCUCGAACUUCUCUGAGAAGCUGGCAUCGCCCAACCCCUAAUCCUCUAUUAAAGCUAGGAAAUAGUAUGCAUCCUCGGUAUGGAAAUUUUCCUCGAGUUAUGCGACUGAUGCAUUGCUAUUUGACUGAGUGAGAUUCUGUGGUGGUUGUUCUUCAGUAGCAACAUCCUGUGUUAGUGCCUGGAAUUGUCUAAUUUGAACAUCUUCAAAGGGUUUUUGUUUUCGGCUCCUGGUUUCUAAUGAUCUUGGUAAACUUGGUGAUGUUCUAAAAGGGAGUCCCACACAUUCUUUUCUUAUCACACGGCGUGCGGAAAUUGACUUUGCCAGGCUAUCUUGUACCAUAUCCUUGCCUUUUCCAUCCUUUGAUAAAACUAGUGUGGAAUUGCUUACACUUUUGUAGAUAAACAUUGUGACCCAAUUAUUAUGUGUUGUUUCUUGUCUUGUAUUCCAUAUAUUAAUUUUCAGCUAUAUUACUAUUGAGAUUCAGUUAUCUAAUCACAUGGUAAUUGUAAUUAUUGUUUGUCCAAUGGAAUCUGUAUACAAUCAUUAAUUGUUCCUUCAGAUAGCUGGUCUUUUCAAAAUACUUUCACUUAAACUGCCACAAAAAAUCUCAUAGU